GAUGAAGAACGUAGCGAAAGGCGAUAAGUAAUGUGAAUUACAGAAUUCAGUGAAUCAUCGAAUCUUUGAACGCACCUUGCGCCCUUUGGACAUUCCGAAGGGCAUGCCUGUUUGAGUAUCAUGAACACCUCAACUCUCACGGCUUGUCCGUGAUGAGCUUGGACUUUGGGGGUCUUGCCGGCCUGUGGUCGGCUCCUCUCAAAUGGAUCAGCUUGCCAGUGUUUGGUGGCAUCACAGGUGUGAUAACUAUCUGCGCUUGUGGUUUUCCAUCAGAUAACCUUCAGUGAUAUGGAGGUUCGCUGGAGCUCACAAAUGUCUCUCCUUAGUGAGGACAGCUCUUUGAACGUUUGAUCUCAAAUCAGGUAGGACUACCCGCUGAACUUAAGCAUAUCAAUAAGCGGAGGA
rnacentral:misc_RNA from 1 species